UAGGGAAUCUUCGGCAAUGGACGGAAGUCUGACCGAGCAACGCCGCGNGAGUGAAGAAGGUUUUCGGAUCGUAAAGCUCUGUUGUUAGAGAAGAACGUUGGUAGGAGUGGAAAAUCUACCAAGUGACGGUAACUAACCAGAAAGGGACGGCUAACUACGUGCCAGCAGCCGCGGUAAUACGUAGGUCCCGAGCGUUGUCCGGAUUUAUUGGGCGUAAAGCGAGCGCAGGCGGUUCUUUAAGUCUGAAGUUAAAGGCAGUGGCUUAACCAUUGUACGCUUUGGAAACUGGAGGACUUGAGUGCAGAAGGGGAGAGUGGAAUUCCAUGUGUAGCGGUGAAAUGCGUAGAUAUAUGGAGGAACACCGGUGGCGAAAGCGGCUCUCUGGUCUGUAACUGACGCUGAGGCUCGAAAGCGUGGGGAGCAAACAGGAUUAGAUACCCUGGUAGUCCACGCCGUAAACGAUGAGUGCUAGGUGUUAGGCCCUUUCCGGGGCUUAGUGCCGCAGCUAACGCAUUAAGCACUCCGCCUGGGGAGUACGACCGCAAGGUUG
rnacentral:rRNA from 1 species